rnacentral:lncRNA from 7 species
CCCACGCGCUGUGCCCCACCUCGGCGUCCCCUGCGCGUUCCCGCGGAGGAAUGCGUUCCCCGGCGAUGAGGGCACGGCCGGGCCCGGGACUACAACUCCCAGCGUGCCCCGCGCCGCCGGCAUCCAGCUCCCGGCGUGCCCCGCGCCGUGCCCGUGCGGGCGGUGCGCGCGGGAGGCGGCGGCCCUGGCGGAGCAGCGCUGUUCCCCCUCGGGGCGCAUCGCGCCGCCGGCGCAGCGGAGGGCUCUCGGCGGCGCCCGGCGGAGCGGCGGUGCCGCUUUCAGAUCCCCGGUGGGCCGCCCUCCCGCCCCGUUAGCGGCCCCACCACCCCUCAGAGCGGGCGGAGAAGCGCCGUGCGAUGACGUGGAAGCGCUGAAGGAGAAGGACCGCGCUCUGGACCGGGAGAUCGCGCAGCUGCUGUCCGAAGGGUACAGCGUGGAGGAGUUGGAGAAGCACAUCUCUCUGCUCCAUGAGUACAACGAAAUUAAAGAUGCUGGACAGAUGCUGCUGGGCAAACUGGCUGUUAUCCGAGGGGUUACUACGAAGCAGCUGUACCCUGAGUAUGACCUGGAGCUUAAUGACUGACAUGGGACCUGCAGGCUGCCGUGACCUGCAGACGUGACUGUUACAGGGCUGUUGUGUUGUGAUGUUGUACCCAUUUGGAGCCAACAGAAGCAGCAAAUAUGCUGAAUUUCAGGAGAUUUUGUUAGCAGCCACGUUUCUCAGCAGCUUUGGAAUGUGCAAGUUGUGGAUGAGAUCAGCUCAUUCCUGUUUGCGGGAAAGGGAUGUUGGGGCUGUGGACUUGGGAUGCUUUCAGUUUGCUCUGCUACCUGAGAAACACUGUUUCUAAUUGUUAUUUUCUAAUUGUAAUCUGAGGUUGGUGCUGAAACUCUUCUCAAUGAGCCUUUGCUUCUCUGCAGCAUCCAGGCUCUGCCUGGGUGUGUUAACCUGCAGGUGGAGCAGCCUCUGAAUGGAUGGAGGAAGGCAGGGCACACCGUGUGAUGUGACAGCUGCUGGGUCAGGGAAGCCAUCAGGAGAAGAGAGGAAGGCUGAAGUUGUGAUAUGGUGGUUUGGUUUGAUUGGAUCUGGAGGGGUUUGAGUGCUCAGCAAUUUUGUACUUAACUGCUGUAAUGUCCAGAGGUUUUGUAUCAUUUCUGUGGUGAACAGAACAUUGUGUUGAACUGUCUGACCCGAAUUAAAGCAGCUACUGCAUCCCUCAGUAAUUCACUUUGA